rnacentral:lncRNA from 1 species
UUUCUGUUCUUUAGACUCGGACAGUCUGGAGAUAGAGAAGACAUUAUUAGGAUUAUCUCCUCACAGUUUUGAUGCAGCUGCUCAUGUGAUUAAAACAGAAGUCAAAAGUUGUACCGGAAUUUUCUUUUUCUUCCAGAACAAUUACUGCAAGAAAAUGAAAUGAGAGGCUGACGAUGAAAAGAGUCCAUUUUUCCAGUUGUGUGCAGAGUACAGCAGAGAAACAAAGGCUUACAGUGACCUGGGCCAUCUGAGUCACAAAUAUCUGUCACUGCUGUCACAGAGAUCCAAAGUGCUGCUCCUCUAUGGAAGGAUACUCUCAAGGCAAUCACUGAUGCUGUCUGUUCUGUCUGUUCCAGGCUUUUUUCCACUCCUUAUACAUUUUAAUAACCAAACCAUUAACAUACAGAAACAUUUUAUCAUAAGCCAGGUGAGAGGUAGCUAGAAUAUUUUUUUAAAAAUUUUCAUUUAUUCUAAGUUUCAAAGAAAAUUUAAAAUUACAAAAUCUCAACAGAUGACUUAAGGAGACAUUAUUAAUGGGAAUAUUAAAUAAUUAAAAUAAAACCUUUAAUGUAAUCGCA